GCAGCCCAUGCUGCUGCUCUGCCUAUGGAGUAGCCAUUCAUUCUUCCUUUACUUUCCUAAUAAACUUGCUUUCACUUUACUCUAUGGACUCGCUCCAAAUUCUUUCUUGGGUGAGAUCCAAACCCUUUCUUGGGGUCUAGAUUGGGACCCCUUUCUGAUAACAUCUUCCUGGCAAACUUCAAAGGGGUGAUACUGAGGAGACCCACCCCCCAACAACAAAGGAAACAGGUCGCAGCACCAAUCAGCUGACUUUGGACAGGCUUCUUGAGGAUAAACCAUGUGUGAUGCUCUUAUAAGAAGCCACAAAUACCCUGUAUGGGAUGUCACAAAUAUUCAUCAGUAAGUGCUGACCAACUCAAAGGCUUAAAAUUCAACUCAUUGAUGAAUCACAGAAGAUCCAAUGACUGACUCAGAUCCACCCACUGUUCUUCAGUCCGUCUUACCCUUACUGGUAGAGCAAAACUAUACCAGAGAGACCCUCGUUCCUUUUAAACCAAGCCUGACUGCCAAGACUCAUGGGAGCCACUGAUGAGUAUCACAUCUAGGGAGAAGGACAUAAAGAUGACUUCAAGGACUUGGAAAGUUCAAAGGGAGUGAUAAGAUAAAAGAUGAGAAAGGCAAGAGAAGGGAAAAGACAAGAGAAUUUCCAGCACCAGAAACUGCUAUGAGUUAAGCAACAGGACUUUAUAAAAAGGCUAUCUGAAAGCUCGCAGAGUCACUGAGAGGCUGGGGACUGGACUCAGAAGAGGGCAGGAGUGUGGGAAAUCUGGUACAACCAGAACAAAGCCAAAGCCAUACCACAGAAUCAGUCCAGGGAGGACACUGUGCCACUGCCUCUGUUCACCGGAUGCCAUGGCUUGCAUGGUUGCUGCCUGGAUCACUGCUAUUGCUACCCUGGAAACCGGAAGUGCUAUUGCAGCUGCCUCCACCCAUGACAGUGAUCAUGUGCUGUGCCUGCUCCCUAGUGCUGUUCCCAGAAAGGUGCAUCUGACUGGCUGAGUGGGUCACAUGUCCACACAUACCGCAAAGGGAAGCUAAGAGAGUGAGUACCAUUGUCAGCUUCUUUCCCCCACCAAGGCUCAUAAAAUGGUGUUCCCUAAAAUAGACAGGAAGUUCAGAUGAUGGACAGCCAAAUCAUGGACAAAUGUCCACUUUAUAACCAUUAUGGAUAGUUUAUUCCCUAACCAUUUGUGGAGACCCUGCCAUAUGCCAGGCACUAUUCUAGGCACUAAGAAUACAAAAAUAAAUAGGAAAGACAUGGGGCUUAUCUUUUUGUGGGGUGGGGGAGGGAAGACAAUAAAUAAGGUAUUUCAGAUAGUGAUAAAUGCAAUGAAGAAAAUAAAGUUGUGUACUAGGAUACAGGGUCACUGGGGAAUGUAUGGAUAUGUGUGGAGCAUGGGGAAGUGGGCAGGGAUUACUUUAAUGGGAUGGUCAAGGAAGGCCUCUCUGAGGAGGUAGGGGGAAUUGGUCAGAGAUCUGAAAGAUGGGAUGGAGUCAGACAACGAAAAGGCCUGGGGAAGAACCUUCCAGGAAGAGGGAGAACAGAAGCAAAUGUCUUGAGGUGGGCAUACAUGAGCACCUCUGAAGGAAGAAACAGGAGCCGCUGUGCCUAGAGCAAAAGGAGCAGCAGGGAGUUCUGAGACAGUGUUGGAAUGGCAGCCUAGCAGUAUCAAGGUCUCCCUAGUUGGUGUGAGAGCAGGUGUAACAAAGGACACUUUACACCUGGAGGCAUGGUCCCCUUUUUUAUGAUGGUGGCAGUGCUGGCUUAGAAGUAGAAUUCAGAAUGGUUUUGUGGAUUUUCAGAAGUUUUCAAUCUUCUUGGCCACGAUAUGCUAUAAGAA
rnacentral:lncRNA from 10 species